rnacentral:rRNA from 1 species
UACAGGGGGCCCGAGCGUCAAUCGGAAUUACUGGGCUUAAAGGGUGCGUAGGCGGACCCGUAAGUGCUUCGUGAAAACCCCCGGUUCAACCGGGGAACCGCGGGGCAUACUGCGGGUCUUGAGGGAAGUAAGGGCGGACAGAACUAUCGGUGGAGCGGUGAAAUGCGUAGAUAUCGAUAGGAAUGCCGAUGGCGAAGGCGGUCCGCUGGGCUUCUCCUGACGCUCAGGCACGAAAGCGUGGGGAGCAAACAGG